rnacentral:rRNA from 1 species
CCUACGGGUGGCUGCAGUGAGGAAUAUUGGUCAAUGGGCGCGAGCCUGAACCAGCCAAGUAGCGUGAAGGAUGACUCCCCUACGGGUUGUAAACUUCUUUUAUAAAGGAAUAAAGUGACCCACGUGUGCCUUUUUGUAUGUACUUUACGAACAAGGAUCGGCUAACUCCGUGCCAGCCGCCGCGGUAAUACGGAGGAUCCGAGCGUUAGCCGGAUUCAUUGGGUUUAAGGGGACCGUAGCUGGGUUGUUAAGUCCGUUGUGAAAGUUUGCGGCGCAACCGUAAAAGUGCAAUUGAUACUGGCAGUCGUGAGUACAGUUGAGGUAGGCGGAAGUCGGGGUGUAGCGGGGAAAUGCUGAGAUAUCACGAGG